UACGUAGGUGGCAAGCGUUGUCCGGAAUUAUUGGGCGUAAAGCGCGCGCAGGCGGCGGUGCUGGCCCGGCGUGAAAGCCCCCGGCUCAACCGGGGAGAGUCGUCGGGGACCGCACCGCUUGGAGGGCGGUAGGGCUGGUGGAAUGCCUGGGUGUAGUGGUGAAAUGCGUAGAGAUCAGGCAGAACACCUGGGGCGAAGGCGGCCAGCUGGGCCGUCCCUGACGCUGAGGCGCGACAGCGUGGGGAGCAAACAGG
rnacentral:rRNA from 1 species